GGCAACCCUGACGGAGCAACGCCGCGUGUGGGAGGACGGCCUUCGGGUUGUAAACCACUUUUCUCAGGGAAGAAGUCCUGACGGUACCUGAGGAAUCAGCCUCGGCUAACUCCGUGCCAGCAGCCGCGGUAAUACGGAGGAGGCAAGCGUUAUCCGGAAUUAUUGGGCGUAAAGCGUCCGCAGGGGGCGCAUCAAGUCUGCUGUUAAAGGUCGGAGCUAAACUCCGGUAGAGCAGUGGAAACUGGUGCGCUAGAGGGCGACAGGGGUAGAGGGAAUUCCCAGUGUAGCGGUGAAAUGCGUAGAGAUUGGGAAGAACACCGGUGGCGAAAGCGCUCUACUGGGUCGCACCUGACCCUCAGGGACGAAAGCUAAGGUAGCG
rnacentral:rRNA from 1 species